GCGAGUGGCGGACGGUGUGAGGAAUACAUCGGAAUCUACCUUUUCGUGGGGGAUAACGUAAGGAAACUUACGCUAAUACCGCAUACGACCUUCGGGUGAAAGCAGGGGACCUUCGGGCCUUGCGCGGAUAGAUGAGCCGAUGUCGGAUUAGCUAGUUGGCGGGGUAAAGGCCCACCAAGGCGACGAUCCGUAGCUGGUCUGAGAGGAUGAUCAGCCACACUGGAACUGAGACACGGUCCAUACUCCUACGGGAGGCAGCAGUGGGGAAUAUUGGACAAUGGGCGCAAGCCUGAUCCAGCCAUACCGCGUGGGUGAAGAAGGCCUUCGGGUUGUAAAGCCCUUUUGUUGGGAAAGAAAAGCAGCCAGUUAAUACCUGGUUGUUCUGACGGUACCCAAAGAAUAAGCACCGGCUAACUUCGUGCCAGCAGCCGCGGUAAUACGAAGGGUGCAAGCGUUACUCGGAAUUACUGGGCGUAAAGCGUGCGUAGGUGGUUGUUUAAGUCUGUUGUGAAAGCCCUGGG
rnacentral:rRNA from 1 species